CCCCAGUAUUUAACAGAAAAUAUUUUACCCAUAAAUACAGCUGUUUUCAUUGUUUUUUUUUAUUAAACCGAACAUGGUCAACUUCACAAUUCAUAGAAAUUUAUAGGUAUCUCAGGGAAAUUCUUGCAGCCAUACUGUGCUAUUGUGUUGAUUACUUGGUUUUCCCAAUGUUUAUUUGCAGCAAAUAACUGAGAACUGUUUUCCCUACAGAGGAGCCAUCUGCGAUUGGCUGCAAGCACCCAACCUUCUCAGGUGCAGACGAUGUCUGGCCCACCACGUCACAGUCAGUACUCUCCCGGACUGUGCACAGUAGUGGCAGGAGGUGGGAGGUGUCAUGGUUGCCUGCUGAAAGAGAAGGACUACAUUGCCCAUGAUCAUCAGGUAAGGCUCCCUUUUAGCUGGCAGUUCAUAUAGCUUCAUCUCCUCUGAUUUGAGUCUCACAAAUUUCUUUCAUCCACAAAUAUGCUGCACUCUGCCUACACAUAUAUACUAUAUUGUAUUUGUGUUCAUACGUAACGCAAAUGUACAUACAGGUAAAUGCGGUAUAAUAUGUAGAAACAAGCACCAUUGUUCAGUAAGUAGGUUACACAGGUAGAGGUGUAGGACGAGAUGUGUCAAAAGAGAGUGAGUAAGACCGGAGUAGGAGUUAAACAGAGGGAGUGCAUUAUGUACACACUGAUUCAUGAAGGUAGAGGUUUUUAAAAGUAUGGGUGUGAGAGGAGCACGGGUUUUUCUGACAUCCUUAUCUCACUAAUCAACUUGAAUUGUGUGUGUGUGUGUGUGUGUGUGUGUGUGUGUGUGUGUGUGUGUGUGUGUGUGUGUGUGUGUGUGUGUGUGUGUGUGUGUGUGUGUGUGUGUGUGUGUGUGUGUGUGUGUGUGUGUGUGUGUGUGUGUGUGUGUGUGUGUGUGUGUGUGUGUGUAGAGUUGUGUGUAGAGUUGUGUGUUGUGUAAGUCCUCAAGGAGUUGUGUACUUUCAAGGCCUCCGGGUCAGACAUCAACCUUUCAACCGCUCGCUUUUCAAAGCCACAUUAGAGUAAAAAAAGGUCAAUGAUUUGUUUGCACUCUCUGUUUGCAACCAGUGUUCACCAAUUACUCUGACUGUUUUUGUGCGUGGGUUAGUGUUAGAUUUCCCCAUUUACUUAACAGAGUAAUAGAUGCCACAAUCAUCCAUGUUAGUUUAGAUGAGCAUGUAAUUCACAAAUAACUGUUACUGUUUUAGUCAAAUUAGCUUAUCAUGCUUUCACCUUUGAAGAGGAAAAUUGAUCAAUUAGAAAAUCUCCUGAAAACAUGAUGUACUCAUAAGAACCAUCCAAGCUUUUUAAGCCCCUCUAAGCUGGGUUUACUUUCACUGUAUAACUUUGGGAUAGCUAGCAUUUUAAACAGGACUGGGGUACUAAGCUUAUCAUAGAGCUACAGUCAGGAUUAGGCAGUUGUUUGAGGAACUAGAGGGAAAGCUGGGUUCCCUAUUGGCCCUCUUCUCCUUGAAUAAGGGCCCUAAUUAUCAGGGCUGUAGCAGACCAUUCAGCCGGCGACAUGGCUGCUAUAUGUGGGUGUGCUAAGCCAGUCUGUCUGACUGUGUGGUUCACUGUCUCCUCGUGGUGUGACACUGUGUGAGUAUGUGCGUGGAGGUGACUAUUAUCAUGUCUCACGGUCUCUCAGUGUACCCAAAAGGCUGACUCACGGUAUGCCACGCACACACACACACACACACACACACACACACACACACACACCCACGCACACAAUCCUACAUAUUACAGGCUGAGAAGCACCAUCUGUACCAGGAAUACAGUCUCCUACAAGUGCAGAACACACACACAUCUUAUUUCCUCUACUGUUGCUCUGUCUGGACCUCAUCAGUAU
ensembl:lncRNA